rnacentral:lncRNA from 1 species
AUCGUUCUCCUAAAUCGUCACUUUUUAGUUAGAAAAUUCUUUAAAUCAUUUAAAAUAAAAUUUAUAUUCUUGACCCUGAUACAAGACUCCUAUCGUCACUUUUUAAGGAUUUUUAUUUUCAAUUAUUAUUUUUGUGUUCAAUUGAUAUAUAAAAAAAUAAUAUUGAAAAAAUUAUAAAAUUUGAUUUCUAAAUGCUUCAAGUAAUAUAUAUCAUAUUCAACAAUGUCGAUCGUCGAUUUGAAGGCUUCAUCAUAAAAAAUAAAUAAAUGACAACGAAUGCGUCAUCAUCAACUCUCUCUCUCUCUCUCUCUAAAUUAAAAUGAUACC